CGCAACGAGCGCAACCCUUGUCCUGUAUUGCCAGCGGGUUAUGCCGGGGACUUGCAGGAGACUGCCGGGGUCAACUCGGAGGAAGGUGGGGAUGACGUCAAGUCAUCAUGCCCCUUAUGUCCAGGGCUUCACACAUGCUACAAUGGCUGGUACAGAGGGCUGCGAUACCGUGAGGUGGAGCGAAUCCCUUAAAGCCAGUCUCAGUUCGGAUUGGGGUCUGCAACUCGACCCCAUGAAGUCGGAGUCGCUAGUAAUCGCAGAUCAGCAACGCUGCGGUGAAUACGUUCCCGGGCCUUGUACACACCGCCCGUCACGUCAUGAAAGUCGGUAACACCCGAAGCCGGUGGCCUAACCCCUUGUGGGAGGGAGCUGUCGAAGGUGGGAUCGGCGAUUGGGACGAAGUCGUAACAAGGUAGCCGUACCGGAAGGUGCGGCUGGAUCACCUCCUUU
rnacentral:ncRNA from 1 species